GGCACUUUGGCCGAGUGGUCUAAGGCGCCGUGUUCAGGCUAUCGGUUCUUCGGAACAGAUUCUCUCUUCGCGGUCUAGUAAUAGGCGAGGGUUCGAAUCCCUCAGGUGUCA
rnacentral:tRNA from 1 species